rnacentral:rRNA from 1 species
UACGGAGGGUGCAAGCGUUAUCCGGAUUCACUGGGUUUAAAGGGUGCGUAGGUGGGUUGGUAAGUCAGUGGUGAAAUCUCCGAGCUUAACUUGGAAACUGCCAUUGAUACUAUCAGUCUUGAAUACCGUGGAGGUCAGCGGAAUAUGUCAUGUAGCGGUGAAAUGCUUAGAUAUGACAUAGAACACCAAUUGCGAAGGCAGCUGGCUACACAUAUAUUGACACUGAGGCACGAAAGCGUGGGGAUCAAACAGG